GGGGACAAUCAGGAAGGGGUGUAUAGGUCCUGCCCACUUCAUCUUGGGGGGUAGAAAAGAGUGGAAAGGUGCUUGAACAAAGAGUUUUGUGAGAGCAUCGGGUUGCUGCUGAAGAUGAAUAUAAUAGCUGCUGUUUUCUGCAUUUUCCUAAAUCAGGUCUUUAGCCAAACCAAUGAUUUUUCUCCUUUAAAGAUCCUAGCGCGACAGAGAGCUGUGAGCGAAGGCAGUGACAUUUAUGUAACCUGCAGCAUUCACGGGCAAAAGAUAAA